UACGUAGGGGGCUAGCGUUGUCCGGAAUCAUUGGGCGUAAAGAGCGUGUAGGCGGCCCGGUAAGUCCGCUGUAAAAGUCAAAGGCUCAAACCUUUGAAUGUCAGUGGAUACUGCCGGGCUAGAGUCCGGAAGAGGCGAGUGGAACUCCUGGUGUAGCGGUGGAAUGCGCAGAUAUCAGGAAGAACACCAACGGCGAAGGCAGCACUCUGGGCCGGUACUGACGCUGAGGAGCGAAAGCGUGGGGAGCAAACAGG
rnacentral:rRNA from 1 species